rnacentral:rRNA from 1 species
GAUAUUCCCGUACCGGCUUUCAGCCGCCAAAACCGAGGCUUGGAGUACUAACCUCCGGGUCCGGGCUUACUGCUCCUUCGGGGGCGGGAUGCCCUGGCCUGUUGGGACCGAUCCUUGUAGUAGGUCAGCGCAGGAGUGACGCAGAAGGGUAGUCGGCCGCGGAGGUGGUCUUCCGUGGUCAAGCACGCAGGGCGUGGGACAGGCAAAUCCGUCCCGCAUGGGUCCGAGGUGCGAUGAUGGGGGCCUUAUGGCCCGAUAUCCGGUGAUCCCGGCUGCCGAGAAAAGCUUCGGCGUCAGGCUCAAAGCCGCCCGUACCCCAAACCGACACUGGUGGUCAGGUAGAGAAUACCAAAGCGAUCGAGCGAAUCCUGGUCAAGGAACUCGGCAAAUCACUCCCGUUCCUUCGGUUUAAGGGAGACCCCCGAUGGUGAACACACUUGCUGUGGGAGCUUUUGGGGGUGGCACAGACCAGGGGGUAGCGACUGUUUACCAAAAACACAGGUGCAUGCGAAGGCGCAAGCCGCUGUAUAUGCACUGACGCCUGCCCGGUGCCGGAAGGUAAGAGGAUCCGUCAGCCUUCGGGUGAAGCGGUGAAUUCAAGCCCCGGUAAACGGCGGUGGUAACAAUAACCAUCCUAAGGUAGCGAAAUUCCUUGUCGGGUAAGUUCCGACCUGCACGAAUGGCGUAACGACUUCCCCACUGUCUCGACCAGGAGCUCGGCGAAAUUGCAGUACGAGUAAAGAUGCUCGUUAAGCGCAGAAGGACGAAAAGACCCCGGGACCUUUACUAUACCUUGGUAUUGGCAUUCGGUGCGGAUUGUGUAGCAUAGGCGGGAGGCCGAGAGGCGCGGUCGCCAGAUCGCGCGGAGCCGUAAGGUGAAAUACCGCUCUGUUCGCAUUGGAUGUCUAACCUCGAACAGUCAUCCUGUUCAGGGACAGUGCCUGGCGGGUAGUUUAACUGGGGCGGUUGCCUCCCAAAGAGUAACGGAGGCGCCCAAAGGUCCGCUCAGCCCGGUUGGCAAUCGGGUGGCGAGUGCAAGUGCACAAGCGGGCUUGACUGCGAGGACGACGGUCCGAGCAGGGACGAAAGUCGGGACUAGUGAUCCGGUGCCGGUGUACGGACGCGGCAUCGCUCAACGGAUAAAAGGUACCCCGGGGAUAACAGGCUGAUCAUUCCCAAGAGUCCAUAUCGACGGGAUGGUUUGGCACCUCGAUGUCGGCUCGUCGCAUCCUGGGGCUGGAGCAGGUCCCAAGGGUUCGGCUGUUCGCCGAUUAAAGCGGCACGCGAGCUGGGUUCAGAACGUCGUGAGACAGUUUGGUCUCUAUCCUCUGCGCUCGUUGGAAUGCUGAGGAGGCCUGCCCAUAGUACGAGAGGACCUGGGUGGACGAACCUCUGGUAUGCCGGUUGUCACGCCAGUGGCACGGCCGGUUGGCUACGUUCGGAAGGGAUAACCGCUGAAAGCAUCUAAGCGGGAAGCCUGCUCCAAGAUAAGCAUUCCGUGGAACCUUCGAGUUCCUGUAGUCCCCAUGCAGAACACGUGGUCGAUAGGCCGGACGUGGAAGCCCCGCGAGGGGUGGAGCCGACCGGUACUAACGGACGAAAGGCACC